CUGGAACGCGCCCCAGGCGCACCCAGAAACCCUUUGUGAACUUAUACCUUACUGUUGCCUCGGCGCAUGCUGGCCCCCUCGGGGCCCCCUGGAGACAGGGAGCAGGCACGCCGGCGGCCAAGUUAACUCUUGUUUUUACACUGAAACUCUGAGAAAAAACACAAAUGAAUCAAAACUUUCAACAACGGAUCUCUUGGUUCUGGCAUCGAUGAAGAACGCAGCGAAAUGCGAUAAGUAAUGUGAAUUGCAGAAUUCAGUGAAUCAUCGAAUCUUUGAACGCACAUUGCGCCCUCUGGUAUUCCGGAGGGCAUGCCUGUUCGAGCGUCAUUUCAACCCUCAAGCAUUGCUUGGUGUUGGGGCACUGCUUUUAACGAAGCAGGCCCUGAAAUCUAGUGGCGAGCUCGCUAGGACCCCGAGCGUAGUAGUUAAACCCUCGCUUUGGAAGGCCCUGGCGGUGCCCUGCCGUUAAACCCCCAACUUCUGAAAAU
rnacentral:rRNA from 2 species